rnacentral:rRNA from 1 species
UACGUAGGGGGCAAGCGUUGUCCGGAUUUAUUGGGCGUAAAGCGCGUGUAGGCGGCCAUGUAGGUCUGACGUGAAAUUCCGAGGCUCAACCUCAGCAGGUCGUUGGAAACCAUAUGGCUAGAGUCCGGAAGAGGAGAGUGGAAUUCCGAGUGUAGAGGUGAAAUUCGUAGAUAUUCGGAAGAACACCAGUGGCGAAGGCGACUUACUGGACGACUGUUGACGCUGAGGUGCGAAAGCGUGGGGAGCAAACAGG